rnacentral:lncRNA from 1 species
GCCCUAAAUAGGAGAGGGACCUAAGACCUACACUGCCAAAAAAGCAGCAGAUCUAACCCAUCAAAAUUCAAUCUUUCUUUGAUUUGAGAAAAACCAUCGAACUCCACCUCCCUUACCAAAGCAGCGGCCAAAUCUCUCUUUCUUUUACUUAAACACACACAUAAACAUAUACAUAAGGAGAGUAAGAAGGAAAAACGAUAAAAAAGGAUUGAGGCGAGGGACGGAAAAGUGACGGAAUUGGGGAACGAUUUUCUGGGUUUGAGAGCUGCUGAGGUUCGAUGAUGCGAUUGCUGUUGGUCUUGUCCAAAUAGCUGCUUAGCCUUUUAAUUUCUAAUUUCUUCCUCGCUUGUAAAGAUACAAUCGACUGUGAGAAUGAUGAUCUUUGGAUGAAAUAAAUUGCUGUAAGUUUAGCUUGUCAUGCUCGUUUUCUUGUUCCAAACUUUGAAUAAUAUUUUUUUUGUUCUGUUUUGGCGUUCCCCUGCUCAUUAUCCUCACUCUUAAUUCCAUAAGAUACUUCAUAUUCUUCUGCUAGCCUGAUGCCAUUGUACAAUAUUCAAUAUGUUAUUAUGCACUCUUAAUAAGUUCCUGUUUGAUCUAUUGAAUAUGUUAUUUGUUACUUUAUGAUUAGGAUUUCCAUGAUAUGAUCCUUUGUUUCUUUACUUUAAAUUAUUUUGGCAUCCAAAUUACUGAAUUAAACAUGUUCUUUGCUGAUUUGGAACCAAAUAAAUCUAUGUUGAUGGAUUGGUUAUGUACAUGGUUAUUUUAAUGACCGCCUAAAAGAAUAAGGAAGUUCAAAACUAACAUGAGUGAGAAGAUCAAGGAAGAAAUCACGAAACAGUUGGAUGCAAAGGUCAUUCGAGUCACGCGAUACCCCACUUGGUUAGCUAAUGUUGUACCAGUACCAAAGAAGGAUGGUAAGACCGAGGUGGGUGUUGACUACCUCGAUCUUAACAAAGCAUGCCCAAAGGAUAAUUUUCCAUUGCCAAAUAUGCAUAUUUUGAUUGACAACUAUGCCAAGCAUAAGAUCUGAUCUUUUGUGGAUUUCUAUAUGGUGUACCACCAGAUCUUGAUGGAUGAGGAAGAUGCAAAAAAGAUAGCGUUCAUCACGCCACGGGGA